UGUCCCAUAGUGUAAUGGUAGCACUCCUGGUUUUGGUUCAGUCAGUCUAGGUUCGAAUCCUGGUGGGACAA
rnacentral:tRNA from 2 species